GACGAACGCUGGCGGCGUGCUUAACACAUGCAAGUCGAGCGGUAAGGCCCUUUCGGGGGUACACGAGCGGCGAACGGGUGAGUAACACGUGGGUGACCUGCCCUCAGCUCUGGGAUAAGCCUGGGAAACCGGGUCUAAUACUGGAUAUGACUCCAUGACGCAUGUUGUGGGGUGGAAAGCCUUGUGCGGCUGAGGAUGGGCCCGCGGCCUAUCAGCUUGUUGGUGGGGUGACGCGU
rnacentral:rRNA from 1 species